rnacentral:sRNA from 1 species
UUUUUCUUCUAUAGAAUGAUUUAGUAUGUGAACAAAGUGUUAUCUCGUUUCUGGGUGCAAAUCUGAAGUCAAACUUGUGCGGAACACGUAAAUUCUCGAAAAAAUGAAGCAGAAUUUCGUAGAAAGACUGAUUAUUUUAUCACAAAGUGAAAAAUGCAGGGUUUUGGGUUCAUGACAUUUACCAUCAAUUUGCAUGACACUCUGACGGCUAACACCUGACGCUUCACGCCUCGUCACCAGCCUUAUGAAUUGUGCAAUCCUUCAACGUGUUAUCUCAUUACGCUUGAAAUAUCAACAGCUUCUGAUGAACUGAAAGAAAGAUGCUUUAUUUCUUCAUUUCAUUACCCUUCGCCCAUCAUAAGCACAGCCUUCCUCACUGCGCCGGUUAGCCAGUCAUUCCAGCGUAACAUGACAUCAAUUUUUCACCUUCUUGGAAGAAAAAAAAACCCAGCACAUUUUAAAGUUGCUUGAAGUCGGCCAGAUAUUGUGGAAUUUUCCUUAGAGACACAAUGCGAAGCGGCGCCGUUUGUUUAUUUGUUUUGCGACAAGAACAGUAAUUGAUGAACAUGGUGUCCAAUGCCUGUAUGUGUCUCACCAUACCGUCUACUUGCACCUGAGGCAAGCAAUAUUUGUUGUCAAUCAGGUAAAUGAUGAAAGUGUGUUUUUAUUUCGUACCGGUGCGGUAAUUAUCAUAAUCUGACACCUAUCUAUACAAUCUUAACAAUAAUGGAUAAUGUUUCUGUGUGUAGCCCUAGGUAACUUAAGACAGAUGCGCAGAUAUCGAUAUCGAUGCAUUUAAAACACAGAUUAUUUUUUAGUUUGAUUUUUUUUUUGUGGGAACUGCCUCAAAGAAAGACGGCCUUCCCAAAAUAUAUCCUUAAAUUUUUAUCCCAUGGAAUCAUACGACAUCUGCAGACUGAAACGCUGAAAACGCCAUAUUGUUUAAGCGCCUUGUUUACUUUGAUCUGCAGAAGUUUCACCGUCUUGGUUUUCACUUUUAUCUCUAAACUGACAGGCUAAUGUGAUUUAUGUGAACGCAUAUCUUAAUGAAUUACAUUUGUUAUUCAAAUCU